rnacentral:tRNA from 1 species
GGAAAUAUUGCGCAGGCGAAUCAGUGGAGCGCAGCCGUCUCCAAAACCGUAGGUCGCGGGUUCGAGCCCUGCUGCCCCUGCCA